AAGACCUCGCGCUUUUGGAGCGGCCGAUGCCUGAUUAGCUUGUUGGUAAGGUAAAAGCUUACCAAGGCUUCGAUCAGUAGCUGGUCUGAGAGGACGACCAGCCACACUGGGACUGAGACACGGCCCAGACUCCUACGGGAGGCAGCAGUGGGGAAUUUUGGACAAUGGGGGCAACCCUGAUCCAGCCAUGCCGCGUGAGUGAAGAAGGCCUUCGGGUUGUAAAGCUCUUUCAGCCGGAACGAAACGGUUACGGAUAACACCCGUGACUACUGACGGUACCGGAAGAAGAAGCACCGGCUAACUACGUGCCAGCAGCCGCGGUAAUACGUAGGGUGCGAGCGUUAAUCGGAAUUACUGGGCGUAAAGCGUGCGCAGGUGGUUUUGUAAGUCAGAUGUGAAAGCCCCGGGCUCAACCUGGGAACU
rnacentral:rRNA from 1 species